rnacentral:rRNA from 1 species
GAUGAACGCUGGCGGCGUGCCUAAUACAUGCAAGUCGAGCGAACGGACCAGAAGCUUGCUUCGCUGUCGUUAGCCGAGGACGGGUGAGUAACACGUGGAUAACCUCCCUAUCAGACUGGUAUAAUCUCGGGAAACCGGAGCUAAUACCGUAUAAUAUCUUGAACCGCAUGGUUCAAUAGUGAGUUUCGGUCUUUCUGUCACUUAUCGAUGGAUCCGCGCUGCAUUAGCUAGUUGUUAAGUUAACGGCUUAUCAAGGCAACGAGGCAUAGCCGACGUGAGAGGGUGGUAGGCCACACGGGAAGUGAGACGGGGUCAAGGCGCCUACGGGAGGCAGCAGUAGGGAAUCGUACGCAGAGGGCGAGAGCAUGGCGGAGCAGCGGCGCGUGAGUGAUGAAGGUCUUCGGAUCGUAAAACUGUGUUAUUAGGGAAGAACAUAUGUGGAAGUAACUGUGGAGAGCUUGACGGUACCUAAUAAGAAAGCAACGGCUAACUACGUG